rnacentral:lncRNA from 1 species
UCGGUCACUGGUGGGUGACAUUCCUUCAGUAACUGAUUGGUCACGGAACCAAAUUUCUGUAAGCUAUUUUCUUGUUUUUCCAGUUCAUCUUGCAGGCUCUGUAGGUUAUCAACUUGGACUUUCACAGCUUCCAAAGAGCCAGUAAGAAGAUAAAAGCGGGACAAAGAAUAUCUGGCUUCCAUCAGGUAACUAUUUAGUUCUUCAUAAGUUACUUUGUAAAUGCUCCACUGAUCAAGAACAGACUGCAACAAUAUCUUUAGCUGGCUAACCAUGUGAUCCAAGUUGGCCCAGGAAUGAUUGAUUUCUUGCAGUGUAUUCAAAACAGCAGAACAGGCUUCUUCCUUCUUGUUCUGUAUCAAAGACAGACCACUUUGUUCUAUGCUUUCUAAUUCUUUUUCCUUUGUUCUUAUUGAUUCUUCUAAUUC